UUGACGAACAUUGUAGUCAUAUCUGAUGCAACAUUGUUGAAACAAAUUUUAUUCAGACAUGAUUGUCUUCCGCGACCCCCGUGUCACAUUUUCAACAAAAUUUUUCCUAAUAAAGGAAUCUCUUAUAGAACACAUGACCUGUGGAAAAACCAGCACAAAUUUAUUACAAACUUCAUAAAAACUUCCAAGGUACCACUUGAAAAUCAAAUACAGAAAUCUGCUGCGGAAUUCGUAAUGUCCAAAACCAAGGACAUCGUGUACCUUUGCACCCAGUUGAAGCUAUAACGCGCUAUGUAGUUGAUAUCAUGGGGACUGUAUGUUUGGGCAUCCUUAACUACGACGAUGCCUUGAUCAAAACCUUAUCACAUAGCUUCAACCAACUUCUCUCCGGCGCUAGUACUUUAAUUACAACAACUUCCAUUCAGUGGAAUCUAUUGUAUCUAGCACAGCACCAAGAAGUCCAAAAUCAAGUACGCCAAGAACUCCACGAUGUUCUACACGGAAAAACCUUUCACAUAGAUGACUUAUCAAAACUGUCUUACACACAAGCAACUGUUGCCGAAGUGGGUAGAAUUAAAACGCUGCUACCGCUAGGAUUUCCUCGUUAAACUUCACAAAAUAUGGUGUUUCUAAAUUACGCUAUACCAGCAAGUACCAUGAUAGUACCGCUACUAUGGGGCAUUCAUAUGGAUCCAGGUGUUUGGAAGAUGCCUGAAGAGUUUCGUCCUGGUCGGUUUUUGAAUGACGCUGGACACUUUUUUCAACCGGAGUCAUUCCUGCCGUACCAAGCUGGUGAAAGGAUGUGUGUUGGUAAAGAUUUAGCUAAUAUAAUGGUAGUUUUUUUUGUUGCAACUGUUGUACAGAACUUUAAAAUUGAGGGUUUAGAGUCGGGUUCUGUGGAUCUGUCGUAUGAGUGGAGUUUCCUGACUCUACCAAAGCCCCAAGAACUGGUGUUUGUAAAGUUGUAAAUAAUUUGACUGAUACUGUUUGAUAUUAAGUCGAUCAUAAUAGUAUAUUAAAGAACGAGUUUCAUAAGGCAAAUAUUGAGGCACGAAUCCAAGUUUAUAGAACGAGCGGCGAAGCCGCGAGUUAUAUAAAGGAUGAGUGCCUCAAUGGCCUUAUGAACGAGUUAUUUAUACUAUUUUUUCUACCGCACACGUUUUUUCCCAAAAUUUAAUUAAAAUUUGCACUUUUUUUAAUCUGGGGACUUUUGUCGUGGUUGGUGAUGGGUUGGUCUGACACUAACCACGAAAUAUUUGAGGUUCGAAUUUUCACAACAACAAUUGUAAUUCGAAUCAAUUCGAGUUUUCGUAAUUUAAAAUUGGUUAAAAUGUCUUGCGAAGAAGUUACGCGUCCGGAAACGUGGGAAAUUUUAAGUUUAGAUUUGCCACUGACAUUCACCUGACAUUUCUCGUCAUUGCUACCAAUCUUAUGGAUCUAAAUUACACCAGAUCUAUUAAAGAACGCCUUUCCGCUAUUAACGAACUGCUGUGACGUCAUUUGCGUGCGUUAAUAGCUCUAUUAGAAAACCAAAAAACGUGGG